rnacentral:rRNA from 1 species
UACGGAGGGGGCUAGCGUUGUUCGGAAUUACUGGGCGUAAAGCGCACGUAGGCGGUGUUCCAUGUCAGAGGUGAAAGCCUGGGGCUCAACUCCAGAAUUGCCUUUGAAACGGGGACGCUUGAGUCCGAGAGAGGAUGGCGGAAUUCCUAGUGUAGGGGUGAAAUUCGUAGAUAUUAGGAAGAACACCGGUGGCGAAGGCGGCCAUCUGGCUCGGUACUGACGCUCAGGUUCGAAAGCGUGGGGAGCAAACGGG